CUGCCCAGGAUUGUCUGAUUUCUGAAGCUAAGCAGGGCUGGGCUUGGUUAGUACUUGGAUGGGAGACUGCUUCGAAUACCAGGU
rnacentral:rRNA from 1 species